UACGUAGGGUGCAAGCGUUGUCCGGAAUUAUUGGGCGUAAAGAGCUCGUAGGCGGUUUGUCGCGUCUGCUGUGAAAACUCAGGGCUUAACCCUGAGCUUGCAGUGGGUACGGGCAGACUAGAGUGUGGUAGGGGAGACUGGAAUUCCUGGUGUAGCGGUGGAAUGCGCAGAUAUCAGGAGGAACACCGAUGGCGAAGGCAGGUCUCUGGGCCAUUACUGACGCUGAGAAGCGAAAGCGUGGGGAGCGAACAGG
rnacentral:rRNA from 1 species